AACCCGACUCCAUGAAGCUGGAUUCGCUAGUAAUCGCGCAUCAGCCACGGCGCGGUGAAUACCGUUCCCGGGCCUUGUACACACCGCCCGUCAAGCCAUGGAAGCCGGGGGUGCCUGAAGUGCGUAACCGCGAGGAGCGCCCUAGGGUAAAACUGGUGACUGGGGCUAAGUCGUAACAAGGUAGC
rnacentral:rRNA from 1 species